UCGGGGUACACGAGCGGCGAACGGGUGAGUAACACGUGGGUGAUCUGCCUCGUACUUCGGGAUAAGCCUGGGAAACUGGGUCUAAUACCGGAUAUGACCUUCGGAUGCAUGUCUGAGGGUGGAAAGAUUUAUCGGUACGAGAUGGGCCCGCGGCCUAUCAGCUUGUUGGUGGGGUAAUGGCCUACCAAGGCGACGACGGGUAGCCGGCCUGAGAGGGCGACCGGCCACACUGGGACUGAGACACGGCCCAGACUCCUACGGGAGGCAGCAGUGGGGAAUAUUGCACAAUGGGCGAAAGCCUGAUGCAGCGACGCCGCGUGAGGGAUGACGGCCUUCGGGUUGUAAACCUCUUUCGACAGGGACGAAGCGCAAGUGACGGUACCUGUAGAAGAAGCACCGGCCAACUACGUGCCAGCAGCCGCGGUAAUACGUAGGGUGCGAGCGUUGUCCGGAAUUACUGGGCGUAAAGAGCUUGUAGGCGGUUCGUCGCGUCGUUCGUGAAAACUUGGGGCUCAACCCCAAGCUUGCGGGCGAUACGGGCGGACUAGAGUACUUCAGGGGAGACUGGAAUUCCUGGUGUAGCGGUGAAAUGCGCAGAUAUCAGGAGGAACACCGGUGGCGAAGGCGGGUCUCUGGGAAGUAACUGACGCUGAGAAGCGAA
rnacentral:rRNA from 1 species